GCUUUACUGGUUUUUCUACGACAUCGGCUCCAUCCGGACGUGGGCCGAAGGGGUCAACAUCCACACCCAGCUGAGACUCUCCCGGGACCAGGGGGGGCGUCUCAAGAUCGCCAACAUGAGCUGCAACGCCUCCAUCGCCCAGAUGAACGCGGGAUUCAGCGGCACGCUGCGAAAGGUGUAUGAAUUCCUGGCUGUACUGAUCACCACAGGGGUACGCUACCUGCUCAGU